GAUGAACGCUGGCGGCGUGCCUAAUACAUGCAAGUCGAGCGAACGGACGAGAAGCUUGCUUCUCUGAUGUUAGCGGCGGACGGGUGAGUAACACGUGGAUAACCUACCUAUAAGACUGGGAUAACUUCGGGAAACCGGAGCUAAUACCGGAUAAUAUUUUGAACCGCAUGGUUCAAAAGUAAAAGACGGUCUUGCUGUCACUUAUAGAUGGAUCCGCGCUGCAUUAGCUAGUUGGUAAGGUAACGGCUUACCAAGGCAACGAUGCAUAGCCGACCUGAGAGGGUGAUCGGCCACACUGGAACUGAGACACGGUCCAGACUCCUACGAGAGGCAGCAGUAGGGAAUCUUCCGCAAUGGGCGAAAGCCUGACGGAGCAACGCCGCGUGAGUGAUGAAGGUCUUCGGAUCGUAAAACUCUGUUAUUAGGGAAGAACAUAUGUGUAAGUAACUGUGCACAUCUUGACGGUACCUAAUCAGAAAGCCACGGCUAACUACGUG
rnacentral:rRNA from 1 species